rfam:Agrilus planipennis Contig33494, whole genome shotgun sequence.
AGACUGCCUAUUUAGUGGGUAUACCUAAGGUUGCCAUCUCUAAAAUACGGCUGAAGAGGACCCUAGUUGGUCCUAAAACGGCCUGAGGUAGAGGGGUUUUAGUCGGUAGGUCCGAGGACUCCUUCCUCGGGAAUCCGACACUACCCAGUCGUACGGACGGCUGGGUGUCUUCUGAAGAUUUCCCCUCUUCCACGAAA